rnacentral:sRNA from 1 species
CAGGUGCUAAUGGAUUUUCAUCCAAAGUUUAUGGGGAGGUUAUUGGGACUUCUUCCUAUUAUUAUUGAGAAGUUCAUGCGUAAUAAUACUGGAUUUCCAGUUUUGCAAUAAAAGAAGAUGUGCCCGAUCAACAGCUCAGAUUAUGAUAUAACAUCACAUGCUCUUGCCGAUCAAAUACUGUGCCCUUUCCUUCUUUGUCAUGGACAGUAUCUAUAAUGCUGUCGCCAUGAAAUGAUCUGAAAAGUGCUGUUCAUAUAGUUGCAUAUGCUCUUGAUGAAGCUGUGGUAGAACAGUGUCCUUCCUCCAUGUCUGUCCAGUGUUCUGUAUGGAACUAAUAAUGAAUUGGUGUUUUCAAGU